GCCUUCUUGUCCACUUCCUUUUAUGGGCUCAUGAGGCCGUGAAAGCUGUGAGAGCCUCAGUGAUGAUGUGCUUCUGUCCCGCGUCUGUGUCCGCCUCCCUUUAUGGGCUCAUGAGUUUCUGCUUCAACUCCAGGCAUUUUUUUUUUCUUUUGCCUCUAGCCCAGUUUUAGAAAGGACUAUAUCUUGGUCCUUCUUAAUGGUAUAAAAGAUAUCCUCAGCCCUCCAGAUGCUCCUGCAUUUGAGUGACGACACACUUCUCUGGCUGUGACCAACUUUUCUCCCUUUCUUUUUAAAUGACAGGACUUCUUGUUCAAUACUUGCUGGAUAUGAAGUGAGUGGGAUGGGAGUGACGUUCCACAUGGAAAACGUGGGGACAUGAGGAAGCCCCCGUGGUACAGCCGUGCCCCCAAGUCUCCCUGACCUUCGCAUUUCCAUCACCUUUUAAUCUUACUGACUUAUUCACUGAUCUAUACAGCUAGUACCCUGCCGUCGAGAUGGGCAGGGUUUUUUUGAUGGUGGCAUCAGGAGAAAGUCUGCUGUUUGAGGAAAGACCAGAAGCCCGAAGCUUCAGCUGAAGUUUUGGUGGGAAUUUGAUCACAGAUCAAGCAUCAGAGACUACUGGGGGCUCUUCUCUGCAGGCUCUCUCUCUCUCUUUCCCCCCACCCCAAAUCAGGAUCCAACCCGGCGCCUCCCAUUGCAUCCACUCCUCACACCUCCACCGUCUCCAUGGCGUGACAGUUCCUCAGUUUUUCUUUGUUGUUCAUGACCUUCACCUUUUGGAAAGGUACUGGCCAGUCACUUUGCAAAAUCUUCCUCAAUUUGUGCUUGCUUGAUGUUUUCUCCUGAUUAAAGUGAUGCAUUUUGGGCAAGAACAUCAUAAAAGCAAUGAUGAAUGAUUUUCAACACAUCAUAUCCAGAGGUGUGUGACGUAGAGGUGCCUUACCCUGGCGAUGUUGCCCAUGAUUGCUUGGCGAGGUCUCCCAGGGUUACAAAGUUACUGUCUCUCCUUCUGUACUUAGUAAAUAACUCCAAGAAGCAGAGAUACUUUGAAAGUAUUUAAAUAUUCUAUUAUAUUUAAACUUUUGCUCACUGAUCUUAGUAUCUCUGGGUAGACUGCCCACAACAGUUAUAGUGUGGUUUUCUAGUUCCCUCAUUUCUUUUACAUUUAAUUGGAAAUUCCAAUAAGGAAGAAUUUCCAAAUUCCACUUGGAAAUUCUCCAUAAGGAAGCUCUGUCCCUUCCACCCAUUAUUUUACUUUAUUUAUUUCCAUGUUGGACUUUGGAAUAUUUAGACUGAUCUUACCAUGAAUUCACAUGGUUCCAUGUAUAAAGCUUGGCUGAAAAUGUCCACUGGAAUUAAACCUUUAUAUUGGGAUUUAUUUAGGACAUCUUCAUAGGUCUGGUAUCAUUUUAUUUUCUCUUUGAAUUCAUGACGUUUUGCCCAUGUAUGUGUCCACCUCAAUGCGCCAUUUUAAGACUGUUGACCCCUUAAGACAGUAUCUUGUGAUUCAGCACCAGGUACUAAUCAAAAUUCUUUGAAAUAAUAACACAGGGUCGGUAUAAAUUCACAUGUUUAAAUAUGGACAAUGAAAAAAGUUCAGAGAAAGCAAACAAUUUAUUAGCGGAAGCUACUAAAUCAAAAACGAUGGAAAAAACAUCUUUCCAGGCACUAUAUGUCUUCACGCUUCCAUCUUUCUGAAAAAUGGUGCAUGGAUAUUAAAGGAGGUUUUUGCAGAACGGGAUGAUUCGGAUGUCUGUGUUAUGCAUGUAAAUGUUUUACUGCAGCUGGUGUUAGCCAGGAAACCAAGAUAGUUCUUUCUAAGCUUUAAAUCAGUUGUUUUAUAGAGCACAAAGAAUUUUUUAUUAUAACAUAAUUCUGUGCAUAAAAUAUCACAUUAAAAGAAGAAGAUAAAGUUUUGUA